rnacentral:misc_RNA from 1 species
GGGGGGUGUAUUCGAGUAGCUUUCUCCUUUACGUAUAACGCUUCUUGAUAGGUUUUCUGGGAUUCCAUUUGCUAGAAUAUUGGGUUUUCUUUCCCUUUUUUCUUUUUGCAAUUUGUUUUCGUUGCUGUGUAGUGUAGUUUGUAAAUUGGAAAGAUUUUAUGUGGAAUUUCGUUAAUUCUUCAUUUCUUUAUUGUUAGGCUUGUACUGUUGCAUGUUAAAAUUUCUCUGUCCUUUAGAAAUUUCAGCC